rnacentral:rRNA from 1 species
CCUACGGGUGGCAGCAGUGAGGAAUAUUGGUCAAUGGGCGCGAGCCUGAUCCAGCCAAGUAGCGUGAAGGAUGACUGACCUACGGGUUGUAAACUUCUUUUAUAAAGGAAUAAAGUGAGGCACGUGUGCCUUUUGGUAUGUAUUUUAUGAAUAAGGAUCGGCUAACUCUGUGCCAGCAGCCGCGGUAAUACGGAGGUUCCGAGCGUUAUCCGGAUUUAUUGGGUUUAAAGGGAGCGUAGAUGGGUUGUUAAGUCAGUUGUGAAAGUUUGAGGCUCAACCGUGAAAUUGCAAUUGAUACUGGCAGCCUUGAGUACAGUUGGGGUAGGCGGAAUUCGUAGUGUAGCGGUGAAAUGCUUAGAUAUCACGAAGAACUCCGAUUGCGAAGGCAGCCUACUAAACUGCCACUGACAUUGAUGCUCGAAGGUGUGGGUAUCAAACAGGAUUAGAUACCCUAGUAGUC